GACGAACGCUGGCGGCAUGCCUAACACAUGCAAGUCGAACGAGACCUUCGGGUCUAGUGGCGCACGGGUGCGUAACGCGUGGGAACCUGCCCUUAGGUUCGGAAUAACUCCCCGAAAGGGGUGCUAAUACCGGAUAAUGUCUUCGGACCAAAGAUUUAUCGCCUUUGGAUGGGCCCGCGUUGGAUUAGCUAGUUGGUAGGGUAAAAGCCUACCAAGGCGACGAUCCAUAGCUGGUCUGAGAGGAUGAUCAGCCACACUGGGACUGAGACGCGGCCCAGACUCCUACGGGAGGCAGCAGUGGGGAAUAUUGGACAAUGGGCGAAAGCCUGAUCCAGCAAUGCCGCGUGAGUGAUGAAGGCCUUAGGGUUGUAAAGCUCUUUUACCCGGGAUGAUAAUGACAGUACCGGGAGAAUAAGCUCCGGCUAACUCCGUG
rnacentral:rRNA from 1 species